AACCAAACAAGGAAACAGAAAGGUAAGAUAAGGCAGGCAGUGAUCUCUUCAUGGUGAAUGCUGUCUUCACAGUGCAUGUCACAGACUCUAGAGGAACAAAGCAGACAGGCAGGCACUGUUCCUAACUACCCCGAACGAUGUCCCCACUGGCCCCAGAUCUGGCUUUCUGGAUUGUCUCCCAAGUGUUAACCUCCUGCCAUCUCAUGCCUGUAAUCCUACUCAGGAGGCUGAGAUCUGAGGACUGCAGUUCAAAGCCAGCUAGGUAGGAAGUCCAUGAGACUCUUACCUCCAAUUAACCACCAGAAAACCAGAAGUGGUGCAGUGGCUCAAAGUGGUAGAACACUAGCCUUGACCUAAAGAGCUCAAGGUGCUGAAGUAUAUGACCCACCACAAAAUGAAAGAUAGAUAAAUAAAAUGUCCAUCUCCCCUUCAGGCUUCAAACUGAUCAGUGAGGCAAAAGAAUGUAAGCAUUGGUGCAAAUGACAAGUUUCAAGUGUAGUAAGGAUCAACAAGUAAUGAGGUUCUAAUAAAUUCAAUAAACGACUCAGUGGAAUCCAUCAGAAAGGAUCUUCCCUUUCAUCACCCAGCCUUCUUCCCUUCCAAUGGAGAGAGCUUGCAGACACCCCAAGCUACUCUCUCCCUCUUCUACACAUUGCCUUCCCAGGUCCCAGUGCUGCCUCAGUGAGCCCCAGUCAACCAAGUCAGCCCACCCCAAAUCUUCACUCUUCAGCACUCAUCUCUUCUAUCUACCCUCACACAGUCUCCACUUGAUGGGAGAACAGAGAAAAAGAAAAGCACAGGGAUGGCCAGACAUCUCCCCCAGAACCUUCCAUAGUCUCUUCUUCCUCCCCAGCCCUAACUUCAUCAGAUCUUCACUGGACCCUAACGUUUUAUUACUCUCCCGAAUUCCAAACUCCUCUCCCGGUGCCUAAUUCAUGACUGGAAGGGUUGGACAGGGUUUCUCUACUCUGCUCACCCUCAACAUUCUGUGGUAUGGGAGCAACUACCAGGGGUUUGGUUUUGGUUGGUCACCCAACCUCACAGCCCAGCACACAGAACCAGAAGCUGCACUGGGAAGACAGCGAGAAAAAGAGGUGGGGCUGUGAUCCAACACAGAAACAUAACCAUGCUAUAUAGUUGUCUCUCCCUAUACCAAAAAUGAAACGAUGUCACUUACAGGCCUCCCCCUGUACUGCAGGUUUUUAAAAAGUGAGGAGAGAUUCCUCACCUAUCACCGGAGUUACAUUCCAGAGACCUUCCUGGUAAGUAAAAUCUGCGAAGUAGCAAUAAGUGAACCACAAUAUAGCGAGGGACAACUACCUAACACUGCUACUUCAUGGAUUUCACCUACCGAGGGGGUCUCUGGAAUAUAACUCCUGUGGUGUUUUUUCUGCAUGCUGACU